UACGUAGGGGGCAAGCGUUGUCCGGAAUUAUUGGGCGUAAAGCGCGCGCAGGCGGCCGCUUAAGUCUGGUGUUUAAGCCCGAGGCUCAACCUCGGUUCGCACUGGAAACUGGGUGGCUUGAGUGCAGGAGAGGAAAGCGGAAUUCCACGUGUAGCGGUGAAAUGCGUAGAGAUGUGGAGGAACACCAGUGGCGAAGGCGGCUUUCUGGCCUGUAACUGACGCUGAGGCGCGAAAGCGUGGGGAGC
rnacentral:rRNA from 1 species